CAAUUUUUCUGUACGUCUUUCCCC
rnacentral:siRNA from 1 species